rnacentral:rRNA from 1 species
UACGAAGGGGGCUAGCGUUGCUCGGAAUCACUGGGCGUAAAGGGCGCGUAGGUGGUGGCUUAAGCGUGCGGUGAAAGCUCGGAGCUCAACUCCGAGUCGGCCGUGCGAACUGGGCUCACUGGAGCAUAGUAGAGGCAGGUGGAAUUCCGGGUGUAGCGGUGGAAUGCGUAGAGAUCCGGAAGAACACCGGUGGCGAAGGCGGCCUGCUGGGCUAUGGCUGACACGUGAGGC